CCAUAGAUGGCGCUAUUAUAGCAAGCAUCAUGGAAUACAACUCCUUGUUCUAUUACAAUUCCAAGAUGGCUGCAGUGUACUACCUAAGACAGCCGGAGAAGUGUAAGAUGCGCCAAGUUUUGUCAACAAAGUUUUGAGUAAAAUUUUAGUACAGUGCUUUGGAAGACGACAUCUAUGUUCCAUGUAUGAAUUAAGGUUGAGCUAAGAUGGAGGGUCCAAAUGGGCUUUGUCAACAACCCUCGGUGAAGUAAGACCCAGCAUCAUAGGUCAGGUCCUUUGGAGGACCAGUGAAAUAAAAGCCUUGCAGAUGGAACAUGAUGAUCCACGUGUAGCUGCAGGUAUGGUGAGGGGAAUCGGGUCAGGUGACGUCCUGCAUGAGGUGAUACCAUUGCCAGUGUGGUGAGGUGCGAGUCAGUUCAAAUGGUGCCCCAAAUGAGGUGAUGUCAAAUCAGGUGGUGAAAAAUCGGGUAAUAUUGAGGUACACUAGAGCCAUGGCGGCAGUGUAAGUACACUAGAGCCAUGGCGGCAUUAUGUAAAAGUUGAUAAAAUGACACUGCUGAAGUGUAGGGACCAUACAGCCUGAAAGAUCCUCAACCAGAGAAACCCUGGCCCCCACGGACUUCAAGACUGACACCUAAAUGGGUAGUUCCUGCGAUAAAGGUUCUUCAGGUGGUUUCUACAGUAACGUGCAACACUGUAGGGUUAAGCCUCUCGUUCGGAAGUGAAGUCAUCGAAUGCCUACACAGCCAUCUGCUAAUGUUACAUGAUUGUCCACGAAUUGCAGUCCCUUAACCAAGACAACUACCUGUAUACCAAUGUCUGACCGGAUGUUGCAUAAGAGUUUAAUUCCGGCAACUUUGCACUGCCUGGUAGACCAGCAUGAUUCUGGCACUGAUAACCCUGACGACUACGGACUAAAUACGGCCAUGCCCUACCACACCAGAAAGUCACAACCGUGCCUUAAUACAGCACUCAAGCCAUGGCCAAUUUCUGGCCAUACAUGGCUUAUUCUCUAGUCUUAAAGUCUCGAUGGGAUGACAGAACGAACACGGUCUUCGCAUCGUUCUAGUUUAAAAAAUAAAGCAGUCUAGUUUGUCUACUGCCUAAAUGAUCUAAAAGGAAAAAUACGGUAAAAACAAACAAGGAUGCUUUUAAAUAAUUUACUUUAGCUUCCUGACCUUUUUGAUACAUGUGGGUGUCCGGUGACGAGACAGUGGGGCUCGAGACCUGGGAAUAGUUUUUUUUUUUUUUUCCCCCGUAUGGUUAUGAUUAACUUGUGUAAUAAACUGACCUUGAACUGCUCUAAAAAAUA